rnacentral:rRNA from 1 species
UCGGGAAUUUUGGGCAAUGGGCGAAAGCCUGACCCAGCAACGCCGCGUGAAGGAUGAGGUAUUUCGGUAUGUAAACUUCGAAAGAAUAGGAAGAAUAAAUGACGGUACUAUUUAUAAGCUCCGGCUAACUACGUGCCAGCAGCCGCGGUAAUACGUAGGGAGCAAGCGUUGUUCGGAUUUACUGGGCGUAAAGCGUGCGUAGGCGGUUCGUUAAGUCCGUUGUGAAAGCCCUGGGCUCAACCUGGGAAUUGCAGUGGAUACUGGCGAGCUAGAGUACGGUAGAGGAUGGUGGAAUUCCCGGUGUAGCGGUGAAAUGCGUAGAGAUCGGGAGGAACACCCGUGGCGAAGGCGGCCAUCUGGACCAGUACUGACGCUGAGGCACGAAAGCGUGGGGAGCAAACA